rnacentral:rRNA from 1 species
UACGGAGGGUGCGAGCGUUGUCCGGAAUCACUGGGCGUAAAGGCGCGUAGGCGGCCUGAUAAGUAGGGGGUGAAAUCCUGCGGCUUAACCGCAGGGCUGCCUUCUAAACUGUCAGGCUGGAGCACAGUAGAGGCAGGUGGAAUUCCCGGGUGUAGCGGUGGAAUGCGUAGAGAUCGGGAAGAACAUCAGUGGCGAAGGCGGCCUGCUGGGCUGUUGCUGACGCUGAGGCGCGACAGCGUGGGGAGCAAACAGG